GAGCGAGCUGAAUUCAAAGAUUCCUUCGGGAUGAUUUGUUGGACGCUAGCGGCGGAUGGGUGAGUAACACGUGGGCAAUCUGCCCUAAAGACUGGGAUACCACUUGGAAACAGGUGCUAAUACCGGAUAACAACAUGAAUCGCAUGAUUCAAGUUUGAAAGGCGGCGUAAGCUGUCACUUUAGGAUGAGCCCGCGGCGCAUUAGCUAGUUGGUGGGGUAAAGGCCUACCAAGGCAAUGAUGCGUAGCCGAGUUGAGAGACUGAUCGGCCACAUUGGGACUGAGACACGGCCCAAACUCCUACGGGAGGCAGCAGUAGGGAAUCUUCCACAAUGGACGCAAGUCUGAUGGAGCAACGCCGCGUGAGUGAAGAAGGUUUUCGGAUCGUAAAGCUCUGUUGUUGGUGAAGAAGGAUAGAGGCAGUAACUGGUCUUUAUUUGACGGUAAUCAACCAGAAAGUCACGGCUAACUACGUGCCAGCAGCCGCGGUAAUACGUAGGUGGCAAGCGUUGUCCGGAUUUAUUGGGCGUAAAGCGAGCGCAGGCGGAAUGAUAAGUCUGAUGUGAAAGCCCACGGCUCAACCGUGGAACUGCAUCGGAAACUGUCAUUCUUGAGUGCAGAAGAGGAGAGUGGAAUUCCAUGUGUAGCGGUGGAAUGCGUAGAUAUAUGGAAGAACACCAGUGGCGAAGGCGGCUCUCUGGUCUGCAACUGACGCUGAGGCUCGAAAGCAUGGGUAGCGAACAGGAUUA
rnacentral:rRNA from 1 species